AGAGGUGAGUCGGGAGGAAGUAGAGAGGAGACAUUGCUGGAAGUGGCAGCUGAGGAGAUAAUAAGAUAUUAUUUUCUAAACAGAUCAGGGUAGGGAGUUCUAGCUGAUCGGGAAACCUUUAUAGAUCAUAUGCCCAAUGAGGAUGGAGGAGAACUGGAGUCAGAUGACCGAGAGGAUACUAAAUCUCACCCUGGAGAUCAUCUACCUGCUGACAGGAGAGAGAUUUCCUCUUGUAAAGUCCGGUGAUCAAAUGACCAU